rnacentral:tRNA from 1 species
AAAAAAAAAAAAAACAAAAAGAUUUGACCCAGGCAGGGCUCGAACCUGCAAUCUUCUGAUUAGAAGUCAGACGCCUUAUCCAUUAGGCCACAAGGCCACG